GGGUUGUGAGGUUAAGCGACUAAGCGUACACGGUGGAUGCCCUGGCAGUCAGAGGCGAUGAAGGACGUGCUAAUCUGCGAUAAGCGCCGGUAAGGUGAUAUGAACCGUUAUAACCGGCGAUUUCCGAAUGGGGAAACCCAGUGUGAUUCGUCACACUAUCAUUAACUGAAUCCAUAGGUUAAUGAGGCGAACCGGGGGAACUGAAACAUCUAAGUACCCCGAGGAAAAGAAAUCAACCGAGAUUCCCCCAGUAGCGGCGAGCGAACGGGGAGGAGCCCAGAGCCUGAAUCAGCAUGUGUGUUAGUGGAAGCGUCUGGAAAGGCGCGCGAUACAGGGUGACAGCCCCGUACACAAAAGCGCAUGUGCUGUGAGCUCGAUGAGUAGGGCGGGACACGUGGUAUCCUGUCUGAAUAUGGGGGGACCAUCCUCCAAGGCUAAAUACUCCUGACUGACCGAUAGUGAACCAGUACCGUGAGGGAAAGGCGAAAAGAACCCCGGCGAGGGGAGUGAAAAAGAACCUGAAACCGUGU
rnacentral:rRNA from 9 species